GGGUUUAAAAGGUUUUAAAAACAGCUCAGGACGAACGCUGGCGGCGUGCCUCAUACAUGCAAGUCGAACGCUUCUUUUUCCACCGGAGCGUGCUCCACCGGAAAAAGAGGAGUGGCGAACGGGUGAGUAACACGUGGGUAACCUGCCCAUCAGAAGGGGAUAACACUUGGAAACAGGUGCUAAUACCGUAUAACAAUCGAAACCGCAUGGUUUUGAUUUGAAAGGCGCUUUCGGGUGUCGCUGAUGGAUGGACCCGCGGUGCAUUAGCUAGUUGGUGAGGUAACGGCUCACCAAGGCGACGAUGCAUAGCCGACCUGAGAGGGUGAUCGGCCACAUUGGGACUGAGACACGGCCCAAACUCCUACGGGAGGCAGCAGUAGGGAAUCUUCGGCAAUGGACGAAAGUCUGACCGAGCAACGCCGCGUGAGUGAAGAAGGUUUUCGGAUCGUAAAACUCUGUUGUUAGAGAAGAACAAGGAUGAGAGUAACUGUUCAUCCCUUGACGGUAUCUAACCAGAAAGCCACGGCUAACUACGUGCCAGCAGCCGCGGUAAUACGUAGGUGGCAAGCGUUGUCCGGAUUUAUUGGGCGUAAAGCGAGCGCAGGCGGUUUCUUAAGUCUGAUGUGAAAGCCCCCGGCUCAACCGGGGAGGGUCAUUGGAAACUGGGAGACUUGAGUGCAGAAGAGGAGAGUGGAAUUCCAUGUGUAGCGGUGAAAUGCGUAGAUAUAUGGAGGAACACCAGUGGCGAAGGCGGCUCUCUGGUCUGUAACUGACGCUGAGGCUCGAAAGCGUGGGGAGCAAACAGGAUUAGAUACCCUGGUAGUCCACGCCGUAAACGAUGAGUGCUAAGUGUUGGAGGGUUUCCGCCCUUCAGUGCUGCAGCUAACGCAUUAAGCACUCCCGCCCUGGGGAGACGCCCCCACCG
rnacentral:rRNA from 1 species